UGGCGGCAGGCCUAACACAUGCAAGUCGAGCGGUAGAGAGAAGCUUGCUUCUCUUGAGAGCGGCGGACGGGUGAGUAAUGCCUAGGAAUCUGCCUGGUAGUGGGGGAUAACGUUCGGAAACGGACGCUAAUACCGCAUACGUCCUACGGGAGAAAGCAGGGGACCUUCGGGCCUUGCGCUAUCAGAUGAGCCUAGGUCGGAUUAGCUAGUUGGUGAGGUAAUGGCUCACCAAGGCGACGAUCCGUAACUGGUCUGAGAGGAUGAUCAGUCACACUGGAACUGAGACACGGUCCAGACUCCUACGGGAGGCAGCAGUGGGGAAUAUUGGACAAUGGGCGAAAGCCUGAUCCAGCCAUGCCGCGUGUGUGAAGAAGGUCUUCGGAUUGUAAAGCACUUUAAGUUGGGAGGAAGGGCAGUUACCUAAUACGUGAUUGUUUUGACGUUACCGACAGAAUAAGCACCGGCUAACUCUGUGCCAGCAGCCGCGGUAAUACAGAGGGUGCAAGCGUUAAUCGGAAUUACUGGGCGUAAAGCGCGCGUAGGUGGUUAGUUAAGUUGGAUGUGAAAUCCCCGGGCUCAACCUGGGAACUGCAUUCAAAACUGACUGACUAGAGUAUGGUAGAGGGUGGUGGAAUUUCCUGUGUAGCGGUGAAAUGCGUAGAUAUAGGAGGAACCCCAUGGCGAAGGCGACCCCUGGACUGAUACUGAACUGAGGUGCGAAACGUGGGG
rnacentral:rRNA from 1 species